rnacentral:rRNA from 1 species
UACGAGGGGGGCAAGCGUUAUUCGGAAUUACUGGGCGUAAAGCGCACGUAGGCGGCUUUGUAAGUAAGGGGUGAAAGCCCAGAGCUCAACUCUGGAAUUGCCUUUUAGACUGCAUCGCUUGAAUCCAGGAGAGGUGAGUGGAAUUCCGAGUGUAGAGGUGAAAUUCGUAGAUAUUCGGAAGAACACCAGUGGCGAAGGCGGCUCACUGGACUGGUAUUGACGCUGAGGUGCGAAAGCGUGGGGAGCAAACAGG